GACGGAGGGGGCAAGCGUUGUCCGGAAUCACUGGGCGUAAAGCGCGCGUAGGUGGCGCGGUGCGUCGGUGCUGAAAGCGCCGGGCUUAACCCGGCGAGGUGCGCCGAUACGACCGGGCUCGAGGCCAGCAGAGGGUGGCGGAAUUCCGGGUGUAGUGGUGAAAUGCGUAGAGAUCCGGAGGAACGCCGGUGGUGAAGACGGCCACCUGGGCUGGACCUGACACUGAGGUGCGAUAGCGUGGGGAGCGAAC
rnacentral:rRNA from 1 species